rnacentral:rRNA from 1 species
GACGAACGCUGGCGGCGUGCUUAACACAUGCAAGUCGAACGGAAAGGCCCUGCUUUUGUGGGGUGCUCGAGUGGCGAACGGGUGAGUAACACGUGAGUAACCUGCCCUUGACUUUGGGAUAACUUCAGGAAACUGGGGCUAAUACCGGAUAGGAGCUCCUGCUGCAUGGGGGGGGUUGGAAAGUUUCGGCGGUUGGGGAUGGACUCGCGGCUUAUCAGCUUGUUGGUGGGGUAGUGGCUUACCAAGGCUUUGACGGGUAGCCGGCCUGAGAGGGUGACCGGCGACCUUAGUACUGCGGUACGCCCCAGUCUGCUACGGGAGGCAACAGUGGGGAGUAUUACACAGCAGGCGGGAGCGUGUUGCGGCGGCGCCGCGUUCGGGAUGACCGCCUUCGGGUUGUAAACCGCUGUCGCCUGUGACGAAGCGUGAGUGACGGUAAUGGGUAAAGAAGCACCGGCUAACUACGUG